AAUCUUCCGCAAUGGACGAAAGUCUGACGGAGCAACGCCGCGUGAGUGAUGAAGGUUUUCGGAUCGUAAAACUCUGUUGUUAGGGAAGAACAAGUACCGUUCGAAUAGGGCGGUACCUUGACGGUACCUAACCAGAAAGCCACGGCUAACUACGUGCCAGCAGCCGCGGUAAUACGUAGGUGGCAAGCGUUGUCCGGAAUUAUUGGGCGUAAAGCGCGCGCAGGCGGUUUCUUAAGUCUGAUGUGAAAGCCCCCGGCUCAACCGGGGAGGGUCAUUGGAAACUGGGGAACUUGAGUGCAGAAGAGGAGAGUGGAAUUCCACGUGUAGCGGUGAAAUGCGUAGAGAUGUGGAGGAACACCAGUGGCGAAGGCGACUCUCUGGUCUGUAACUGACGCUGAGGCGCGAAAGCGUGGGGAGCGAACAGGAUUAGAUACCCUGGUAGUCCACGCCGUAAACGAUGAGUGCUAAGUGUUAGAGGGUUUCCGCCCUUUAGUGCUGCAGCAAACGCAUUAAGCACUCCGCCUGGGGAGUACGGUCGCAAGACUGAAACUCAAAGGAAUUGACGGGGGCCCGCACAAGCGGUGGAGCAUGUGGUUUAAUUCGAAGCAACGCGAAGAACCUUACCAGGUCUUGACAUCCUCUGACAACCCUAGAGAUAGGGCUUCCCCUUCGGGGGCAGAGUGACAGGUGGUGCAUGGUUGUCGUCAGCUCGUGUCGUGAGAUGUUGGGUUAAGUCCCGCAACGAGCGCAACCCUUGAUCUUAGUUGCCAGCAUUCAGUUGGGCACUCUAAGGUGACUGCCGGUGACAAACCGGAGGAAGGUGGGGAUGACGUCAAAUCAUCAUGCCCCUUAUGACCUGGGCUACACACGUGCUACAAUGGGCAGAACAAAGGGCAGCGAAGCCGCGAGGCUAAGCCAAUCCCACAAAUCUGUUCUCAGUUCGGAUCGCAGUCUGCAACUCGACUGCGUGAAGCUGGAAUCGCUAGUAAUCGCGGAUCAGCAUGCCGCG
rnacentral:rRNA from 1 species